AAUAAAAAAGGCGAUGGAACUCGCCAUAAUCGCCUUCUGGUGAUAUUUAAUACUUAAUCAAAAGGCUGAUGGCUCCUACUUCUCC
rnacentral:ncRNA from 2 species